AUGUAUGGCCACACAGAACUUCCCCUGGCAAGGAGAGGAAGCACAGCCGGGCACCUGGGGUCCGGGAAGAAGAAGAAAAGGGCCCCCAGUGGCGGAGGGUCCUGCGUGGUGCUGACGCGGAGGGAGUGGCUGCAUGGUCACUUCCUGCGAGGUGCUGAAGCCCCGCAGCCUCAGCCAGCGAAGAAGCAGCAGAGGAAGAAGACGUACCACUGGGCUCUCCAGGGAGGAACUGUUCUCCUGCUGAAGAUGCACUGUGAGCUCCGGGAGAGGACAUGACAGGGCUCAUGGACUCCAGCUGCCCUUUGUCCCACUUGCUGUCCACCUGCAUCUGACCUGGGGAGGGCCUAGUGGUGGCCGCCAUGGUGGACCCACUUGGCGCCGGCUGUGUGCCAGGUGGAGUUGGUGCCGCCCCCAGAGUGCUUGGACUUUGAGCCUCGCUGGAGGAGUUCACAGACCUACUGGGCUUCACCAGCACCAUGCAACCUGUGACCAAGAACACAUCUACAAGAUUGUUGCCAGCAAAGGAGGUUUUGAAAUGGUCAGCGAAGAAAAGAAAUGGUCCAAAGUCGAUAUCUGCUUGGGAUAUCUGCCAGGAAAAGAAACUGGAUCUCUCUUCAAAGUCUCACUAGGAAAGAAUUCUCUACUCAUAUGAGCUGUUCCAGUCUGGUGGAGUCAGUCUUAUGGGAGUGCUGACACCUAAUUUAGAUCUUAAGGAAAAAGUGGAACCU